ACGAACGCUGGCGGCGUGCUUAACACAUGCAAGUCGAACGGAAAGGCCCUGCUUGCAGGGUACUCGAGUGGCGAACAGGUGAGUAACACGUGGGUGAUCUGCCCUGCACUUCGGGAUAAGCCUGGGAAACUGGGUCUAAUACCGGAUAGGAGCCAUUUUUAGUGUGAUGGUUGGAAAGUUUUUUCGGUGUAGGAUGAGCUCGCGGCCUAUCAGCUUGUUGGUGGGGUAAUGGCCUACCAAGGCGGCGACGGGUAGCCGGCCUGAGAGGGUGGACGGCCACAUUGGGACUGAGAUACGGCCCAGACUCCUACGGGAGGCAGCAGUGGGGAAUAUUGCACAAUGGGCGCAAGCCUGAUGCAGCGACGCCGCGUGGGGGAUGACGGCCUUCGGGUUGUAAACUCCUUUCGCUAGGGACGAAGCUUUUUGUGACGGUACCUAGAGAAGAAGCACCGGCUAACUACGUG
rnacentral:rRNA from 1 species